rnacentral:rRNA from 1 species
UACAGAGGGGGCAAGCGUUGUUCGGAAUUACUGGGCGUAAAGAGCGUGUAGGCGGCCAGACAGGUCCGUUGUGAAAACUCGAGGCUCAACCUCGAGACGCCGAUGGAAACCGUCUGGCUAGAGUCCGGAAGGGGAGAGUGGAAUUCCUGGUGUAGCGGUGAAAUGCGCAGAUAUCAGGAAGAACACCCGUGGCUAAGGCGGCUCUCUAGUACGGUACUGACGCUGAGACGCGAAAGCGUGGGGAGCGAACAGG